rnacentral:lncRNA from 1 species
AUUGUUCAAGGAAACAGUGAGAAAUUAAAGCAAGGCAGCUUUAUUGCAGGUAAAUAGAAUAAAGAAGGGCAAUCAGGGACAUUGGAAGCAGGUCAGAUCUGUUGGGUCUUGAUGUUGGGAGAAUACAAAACUGCUAAAUCUAAUGGCUUUUUAUGGAAUCUGAAAUAAAAAGCAGGACCAGAUAUUAGGGGAAAUAUCAAAGAACCUAGAUCUUUGGUCUAACCUAAUUUAGGCUAGGGUAGAACAUCUGGGGAAUUGCCCUCUAGUUUAAUAUUCAACGUCUCCACAGAUAUGUAAAGCAUCUUUCUGCCAUUUCUGCAGGCAUACCUUGGGUAGGGUAACUGAAAGAGUUUUAAUUUCCAAAGAACUUCAUUUCUCUGAGAAGGCUACAAAUGACCUUGAGGGAACUGAAAAAAAAAGGCAAAAGAAGUUCAAGACUAGGCCCAAGAUGCCCCUUUGGCAACCUGGUAAAGGCUAUACAUCUCUUCUCAGAAUAAUAGUUUGUAGCCUGUAUUUAUGAAUGAAGUGUAAUUUGACUUCCCUGACUCUCACUUCCUGAAGGAUAAAUUAGAGGCAAUCUCCAGAGAAGGCACCAGCAUUAAGAAGACUUAGGAAGACUUAUUCUGGAAGGAAGGAUUUUAGCUGACUUAAAGGAAUCCAGUAAAGCCAAAAAGCAGAGAUGAGGAAGAAGAAAAUUCCAAGUUGGCUGGGAAAAUACAAAGAAUAAGGAACUGGAAUGUCUUUUUUUUGAGAAACAGAAAUGAGUCCAGUGUCAUUGGAUCAUAGAGUACAUGGAUAGAGGUAAUUAAGAAGACUAGAAAAUUAGAUGGUGGUAAGGAGAUCAUAUGGAGAGAAAAGAAGAGAAAAUCAAAUUGUGAAGAAUUCUGGGUCACUUCAAUGCUGUGAUGAGGAACCAAAAGGGGAUUUAAUGGUUCAUUUAAGAACUUAAAUAAUUUUACUUUUAAUGGACUUUAAAAAGACUUGUUCAUAUCCUGAUAUGUUUUUGCAUUUUAUAGUUUGAAAAUGAAUGUAGUAACAAUGCUUUCUGUUCUUCUGAGUGUUCAGUCAAAACACCAUUUUCAAAUUAUUGUGUACACAUUAUAAAAUUUUCCCUUCAGUAACUAGUUGCACUAAUUGAAUAA